rnacentral:rRNA from 1 species
CUACUCCUACGGGAGGCAGCAGUGGGGAAUAUUGGACAAUGGGCGAAAGCCUGAUCCAGCCAUGCCGCGUGUGUGAAGAAGGUCUUCGGAUUGUAAAGCACUUUAAGUUGGGAGGAAGGGCAUUAACCUAAUACGUUAGUGUUUGACGUAUCCGACG